UUAAGGAAAAAAGGGCGCACAGUGGAUGCCUAGGCACUAGAAGGCGAAGAAGGACGCAACUAACGGCGAAACGCUACGGGUAGCAGUAAGUAAGCAAUGAUCCGUAGAUAUCCGAAUGAGGCAACUCACCAUGAAGAAGACAUGGUAUACCGAAAGGUAGGCAAGACCCAGCGAAUUGAAAUAUCUUAGUAGCUGGAGGAAAAGAAAGCAAAAGCGAUUUUCUCAGUAGCGACGAGCGAAAGGGAAGGAACCCAAAUUCACGGCAUAUGAAAUUUUUGAUAAAUGAACCACUCUGGGAAGGUGGACCGAAGAAGGUGAAAGUCCUGUAAUUGAAAUCAAGAAUGGAAUUAGUGAGAAAGAGUACGGCGAGACACGAGAAAUCUUGUCGGAAGAAGCGAGGACCAUCUCGUAAGGUUAAAUACUAGCUAGUGACCGAUAGCGAACCAGUACCGUGAGGGAAAGGUGAAAAGAACCCCGGGAGGGGAGUGAAAGAGAACCUGAAACUGUGUGCUUACAAGUAGUCAGAGGACGUUAAAGUCUGAUGGCGUGCCUUUUGUAGAAUGAACCGGCGAGUUACGGUAUUUAGCAAGGUUAAGUCUAAAGGGACGGAGCCGAAGCGAAAGCGAGUCUUAAUAGGGCGGUAAGUUGAAUGCUGUAGACCCGAAACCCGGCGAGCUAGCCAUGAGCAGGUUGAAGUUUGAGUAAAAUCAAAUGGAGGACCGAACUAGGGCCUGUUGAAAAAGGCUUGGAUGACUUGUGGCUAGGGGUGAAAUUCCAAUCGAGCUGGGAUAUAGCUGGUUCUCCCCGAAAUAACUUUAGGGCUAGCGUUAAACAAGAGUUUUAUGAAGGUAGAGCACUGAAUAGUAGAUGGUCCCACCUCGGGAUACUGACAUUAAUCAAACUCCGAAUGUCAUAAAACGCGUUUAGCAGUCAGACUGCGAGUGAUAAGGUCCGUGGUCAAAAGGAAAAGAGUCCAGACCGCCAAAUAAGGUCCCAAAAUAUAUGCUAAGUGGAGAAGGAUGUAGAGAUGCCUAAACAACUAGGAUGUUGGCUUAGAAGCAGCCAUCAUUUAAAGAGUGCGUAAUAGCUCACUAGUCGAGUGACUCCGCGCCGAAAAUGUACCGGGGCUAAGCAUAUUACCGAAUUUGCGGAUUCGAUACGAAAGUAUUGAGUGGUAGGGGAGCGUUCCAUAAUGGGAAGAAGCAAGAUCGAGAGGACUUGUGGACUAUAUGGAAGUGAGAAUGCCGGUGUGAGUAACGAAAAGACAGGUGAGAAUCCUGUCCGUCAAAAACCCAAGGUUUCCAGGGGAAGGGUCGUCCGCCCUGGGUAAGUCUGGGCCUAAGGUGAGGCCGAGAGGCGUAGCUGAUGGAUAUCUGGUGUAUAUUCCAGAACUAGUAUAAUGACUGAUGGAGUGACGAAGAAGGCUAGGAUCCGAUUCUUAGUGGAUUGAAUACGAGAUAUCAAGAGGGGAUGUAGGCAAAUCCGCAUCUAGAAAUCAAGAUAUGACAGGUAAAGGAUAACGAAGUCAAGCUUCCAAGAAAAGCUUCUAGGGUUAAUCAUUAUACUACCAGUACCGUAAACCGACACAGGUGGGUAGGAAGAGAAUUCUAAGACGCGCGAGAAAACCCUUGUUAAGGAACUCUGCAAGUUGGCCCCGUAAGUUCGCAAUAAGGGGAGCUCAUGUAAAAGUGAGCCACAGAAAAGAAGCCCAAGCAACUGUUUAACAAAAACACAGGUUUAUGCAAAACCGUAAGGUGAAGUAUAUGAGCUGACACCUGCCCGGUGCUGGAAGGUUAAAAGGAGAGGUUAGAGCAAUCGAAGCCUUGAAUUGAAGCCCCAGUAAACGGCGGCCGGAACUAUAACGGUCCUAAGGUAGCGAAAUUCCUUGUCAGGUAAGUUCUGACCCGCACGAAAGGUGUAAUGUCUUUGGGCACUGUCUCAACAGGGGACUCGGUGAAAUCAAACUGCCGGUGAAAAUGCCGGCUACCCGCGAUUAGACGGAAAGACCCCAUGGAGCUUUACUGUAGGUUGAUAUUGAUAUUUGGUAUGUAAUGUACAGGAUAGGUGGGAGACUAUGAAGCUAGGACGUUAGUCUUGGUGGAGUCGACGUUGGGAUACCACCCUUUGCCUAUCGAGUAUCUAACUAGUGUAAGUGGAUUACAAAGGACAGUGUCAGUUGGGCAGUUUGACUGGGGCGGUCGCCUCCUAAAGAGUAACGGAGGCGCUCGAAGGUUCCCUCAGAAUGGUUGGAAAUCAUUCGCAGAGUGUAAACGCAGAAGGGAGCUUGACUGCAAGACAAACAAGUCGAGCAGGGACGAAAGUCGGAGUUAGUGAUCUUACGGUACCGCGUGGAAGGGCCGUGACUCAACGGAUAAAAGCUACCCUGGGGAUAACAGGCUGAUCACGCCCAAGCGUUCACAGCGACGGCGUGGUUUGGCACCUCGAUGUCGGCUCGUCGCAUCCUGGAGGUGGAUAAGCUUCCAAGGGUUGGGCUGUUCGCCCAUUAAAGCGGCACGCGAGCUGGGUUCAAAACGUCGUGAGACAGUUUGGUCCCUAUCUGUCGUGGGCGUUGGAAAUUUGAAGAGAGCUGUCCUUAGUACGAGAGGACCGGGAUGGACAUACCACUGGUGUACCAGUUAGCCUGCCAGGGCUAUAAGCUGGGUAGCUACGUAUGGAACGGAUAAACGCUGAAAGCAUCUAAGCGUGAAGCCUCCUCUAAGAUUAGAUUUCCCACAGAAAUGGUAAGACCCCUUAUAGACUAUAAGGUUGAUAGGCUAGGUGUGGAAGCGCAGUGAUGCGUGGAGCUGACUAGUACUAAUAGGUCGAGGACUUAACCUA
rnacentral:rRNA from 1 species